UUCUUUUCUUAUGUUCCUUAUGUAAACGGAUCAUAUCAAGUCCUAUUAAUUAUUUGGUCUGAGAAAAAAGAAAAAAUAGAACUCCAUCUUCUUCGAGAACAACGAUAGUGGAUUCUUAGGGUUCGGCGUCUGCACCAGUUCCGAUUAUGUCAAACAACCAUGGCGGUUCUGGAAGGAUCUGCGAGUAAGCUCUUCGUGUUGGAUCUCUGUGUCGUUCACCAUUCUUGUUGUUACGCUUGCACUUGAUCUCCUCUGAUCCGUUACGCAAUGAAGUUCUUCAUCACCAUUAGCAGCGUUAUUUAAUCCUUGGACCCACACCAACCAUGAUUGAUCAUUCAAUGCUCUUUAUCUCCUUCACAGUCUGUGGAACUCCACCUAUAAAGGCUAGUCUUCUUCCCAUUAACGUCAUCCUCACCAUUCGUUUUCAGUAACGUAGUAUCCAAAGGUUAGUCACAAAUGACACUGGGACUACAUCAGCAGCUUCAUUGUUGAGAGGCUAUGCCAAGGUUGAGCUACUGACAAUAGCUGAGCUUAGCCAGAUUAUCAUCACAGCCGAGCCUCAUGUUCACUUACGACCUUUAAUAGGUUCGUCUCCACCGUCAAUCUAAGCUCUGUUUACAUUGUAACAUUUAUUAUUGCAGAAAUUAUAAUUUAUCUGCACUGGGAUAGUCACAUGUAUCAAGGCAGAAAAUUUUAGGUGGUGCUACAUAUGUUGCUCGAAGUGUGCAAGAAAAUUUCAGACGAGUGCCUCAUCAUUUGCAUGCAUGUUCAACAAUUAGACUAAUGCCAUUGGUGUUUUCAGGUAUUGUGUGGAGAUGACUGUUGCUGAUGACCCGGACAAAGCUGUUUUCGUCAAGUUUCUAUGGUGAAAUAACAAACCUCACCAAUAUCCGGGCUGCUGAUUCUGGUCAUCUGCUGGAUUAUGAUCAUUGAGGUUUACGAGAGGAUAGCGGAAGACAUAACAGAGGAUGUGUAUUGUAAUUAAGAAAACUCUGGAAAACUCUAUCCAAAACGGCCGUUAAGAUUCCUAAACUGCAUCAGUACUUAUCUGAAGUUUGCUGAAGAGGCAAAGAAGCAGAACAAUUGUUUCCUCCUCUGAGAUUUCUUUCUUGCAUUGAAUCUCUAAUAAACAAAAUAAAUAAUUUUAUUCAACAGUAAAUUGUCUAACA